UAUAAGAAUAAGGGGGGCAUUCAGAGUUGCAAUAACUAUAGAGGGAUUAAGUUAUUGAGUCACUCUACGAAGAUCUGGGAGAGAGUUGUCGAGGUGAGGCUGAGACGGAUAGUGUCUAUUUUGGAAAACCAGUUCGGAUUUAUGCCCGGCCGCUCGACGAAGGAGGCAAUCCACCUGGUACGGAGGUUGGUGGAGCAGUAUAGGGAGAGGAAGAAGGAUCUUCACAUGGUGUUUAUCGACCUGGAGAAGGCAUACGACAAAGUCCCCAGGGAGGUGCUUUGGAGAUGCUUGGAGGUGAGUGGAGUACCGCUGGCAUAUACCAGAGUAAUUAAGGAUAUGUAUGAUGGAGCGAAAACCCAGGUGAGGACGGCGGGAGGGGACUCAGAGCAUUUCACUGUCCUGACAGGAUUGCAUCAGGGAUCUACUCUUAGUCCCUUUUUGUUUGCGUUNNNNNNNNNNNNNNNNNNNNNNNNNNNNNNNNNNNNNNNNNNNNNNNNNNNNNNNNNNNNNNNNNNNNNNNNNNNNNNNNNNNNNNNNNNNNNNNNNNNNNNNNNNNNNNNNNNNNNNNNNNNNNNNNNNNNNNNNNNNNNNNNNNNNNNNNNNNNNNNNNNNNNNNNNNNNNNNNNNNNNNNNNNNNNNNNNNNNNNNNNNNNNNNNNNNNNNNNNNNNNNNNNNNNNNNNNNNNNNNNNNNNNNNNNNNNNNNNNNNNNNNNNNNNNNNNNNNNNNNNNNNNNNNNNNNNNNNNNNNNNNNNNNNNNNNNNNNNNNNNNNNNNNNNNNNNNNNNNNNNNNNNNNNNNNNNNNNNNNNNNNNNNNNNNNNNNNNNNNNNNNNNNNNNNNNNNNNNNNNNNNNNNNNNNNNNNNNNNNNNNNNNNNNNNNNNNNNNNNNNNNNNNNNNNNNNNNNNNNNNNNNNNNNNNNNNNNNNNNNNNNNNNNNNNNNNNNNNNNNNNNNNNNNNNNNNNNNNNNNNNNNNNNNNNNNNNNNNNNNNNNNNNNNNNNNNNNNNNNNNNNNNNNNNNNNNNNNNNNNNNNNNNNNNNNNNNNNNNNNNNNNNNNNNNNNNNNNNNNNNNNNNNNNNNNNNNNNNNNNNNNNNNNNNNNNNNNNNNNNNNNNNNNNNNNNNNNNNNNNNNNNNNNNNNNNNNNNNNNNNNNNNNNNNNNNNNNNNNNNNNNNNNNNNNNNNNNNNNNNNNNNNNNNNNNNUAGUGUAGGGAUUACUUGGUGGGGGUUUUAUUCCUGUUAUGAUUCUGUGUUCCGUGUUCCGUGUUCCAUGUUUUAUUACGAAUCUGUGUGCUUUCCUCUGCUUUCCUCUGUUUUAUAAUACUUAUGGGUGUCGUAUUUAUGUUAUGUAAUCUGCUUCUGUGCUUUACUAUGUGUUUGUGUGGUAUCUCGUGCCUUGAGCCGGGGGUCUAUCGGAAACAGCCUUUCUACUUCAUCAGAGGUAGAGGUAUGGACUGCGUACAUAUACACUGGGUUUGUUGUUGUUGUUGUACAAUGUAUCAAUUGCUCUUUGAUCUUGUAGUCUUAAACAUGUCAUAUGAAGAGUUAGAAUAAAAGGAUUGCUAUAAAAGGGACGAGGCAUUCUUUUCUAAACGGACUAAAAUAGAAAGUAAGACAAAUAAAUUGAAACGGAGUUUUUAUUUAGUAAAAAUUUUUGUUUCAUAAAGUUGAUCGGCUAAUUAAAAUUUUUGAGUUGACGUUGACGUUUUUCGGUGGUGGUUGAUUCCAACGAAGCUCGUAGUCUCGUUUUGCUGUCCCACAAAAGGUAAACUCACCUUCUUUUUUCUUUUUUUUUAUUAUUUUAGUUUUUAUUAUCGUUUUUCUUCUUCGUAGUUCGUAGAUAUAAUUUUAUUUGUUGUGAUUGUAUGUUAUAGAUGACCUUGAAGACCCUAGGACGUUGUGGUAUCGAUAUUCUAAUUAUUUUCAUGUUCAUGAUAUAAAAAUGAGCUAGCAAUAGUUGUAUGUGUCUUUUUUGACUUUAUUCUUUGAUUAUUUUNNNNNNNNNNNNNNNNNNNNNNNNNNNNNNNNNNNNNNNNNNNNNNNNNNNNNNNNNNNNNNNNNNNNNNNNNNNNNNNNNNNNNNNNNNNNNNNNNNNNNNNNNNNNNNNNNNNNNNNNNNNNNNNNNNNNNNNNNNNNNNNNNNNNNNNNNNNNNNNNNNNNNNNNNNNNNNNNNNNNNNNNNNNNNNNNNNNNNNNNNNNNNNNNNNNNNNNNNNNNNNNNNNNNNNNNNNNNNNNNNNNNNNNNNNNNNNNNNNNNNNNNNNNNNNNNNNNNNNNNNNNNNNNNNNNNNNNNNNNNNNNNNNNNNNNNNNNNNNNNNNNNNNNNNNNNNNNNNNNNNNNNNNNNNNNNNNNNNNNNNNNNNNNNNNNNNNNNNNNNNNNNNNNNNNNNNNNNNNNNNNNNNNNNNNNNNNNNNNNNNNUGCAUAGUAUGAUUGUGAAACUUUUGCUUUGCAUUUUUUAUUUGUUGACUCUCACUCUUGUGCAAGUGUGCUUAUUCUUGUCAUUCAAAAAUUGGUUCUUGAUAGUUUCUUUUACUUUGAAAUAUGUCACUUUAUGUCACUUUUAUGCCUUGAACAUAUCUUAAUUUCUUUAUCUUUUCUUUGUAUGCAAAAAAUAUCUCAAGUCUAAAUGGACUCCUCUCCUCCUGCAUUUCGUAAUGGGUAAAUGAGGCUCACCCCUUCGAGUCAAGGUCGAAGUUUAAACCCAAGGUCCACUACAUGGCGUGCGGGUGCUAGAAGAUAGACAAAGAAGGAAAAUGGGUCAAAAUCCAUUGAUGAGGUCACUAAAAGACUUGAAAAGCCUCAAUUUUUAUUAUUGUCUUUUUUUAUUUAUUCAUUUAGUCAUUUAUUUAUUCAUUCAUUUUGGCCUCAAACCCAAAGUUGUAUUUAAUACAGGUGGAGCAAGACUCGAGCCAAAGGCUCGAAAAAUAGUUUAGGACAGGUGAAAUGGGUUGGAAGCCCAACUAGACUAGGACAGGUCUCGUUGAUUUGGGCCUAAUGGCCUAAAUCCUUUACUUUCUCCUCACUUCCCCUGUUAUGUGUUUAUUUGUUUAUUAGUUUUGUUUAGACUUAGUUAAAAUCCCUACUAAGUCGCCUAAAUCUAUUUUACACAAGUUUUUUUUUUUUUGAAAAAAUCAGAUCACUAUUUUAACAAAUUAAUCUUUUCGAAGUUAAUCAAAAGACGAUUUUCAAACAGUCCGGAUAACCGCAAGUUAGCGGACGUUUUAGGUUCCUAACACCUUCCUAAAACGUUAAUAAGAACCGCUUAUCUAGAAUCUCUAACUUAAAAUGAUUUUUCUAUUUUGAAUCGUUUGAAGUAACUCCCUAAAGGUUUCUUAAUUCCUUUUCAAAAUUAAGUGGCGACUCUCUUCAAAAGUCAAAAUUUCUCCGCAAAACACUUACUGCUGAAAAAAAGUUCACCAGCAUGUUGAAUGAAUAUGUAACUGAUUAUAUUUUGCUGCAGGAAUCUGAGGGAACUGGACUAGAGAGAAAGGCCAUUGGCUUAGUCGUUUUCGUGAUAGCUGCACAUAUAUAGCUCGUGUCACAUAACGUACAUUACUUGUUUGGAGCGUCUACUUGCUCGCAUUCCUCAUUUAAGGACUAGUAUUUGGUUUCUCAAUCGUGUUGUGUCCAUCGAGAAACUUCCAAAGCUACUUCGCGAUGCCUCCCAGUUGAUUGAAUUUGGUACUGGAUCCCAUACUCUGCUGACAUAUAUACUGGCUGAUCAUGUUUCUGAAGUUUUCGUAGAUGUAUCUCAAGGUUAUUCGAUAGUGAAUUAGACUCAAUACACGAACUCUUUUGUGGUAAAAUAGAUACAUUAUUGAUCAUAUAUAGUUGUCAUCCUAAUAAUACCUUCUGAGUAUGUUGUCUAAAAUGUUAUAGUUAUUGCAAAUAUUGGACGACGGUCUAACAUUAUUUGGAAGGACAAUUCUCAAAAGCUAUAAAGUUUAGAAAUAAAAAUAAAAUCGAAAUAGUGACCUGUAAAAUGGAUAUUUGUGAAAAUCAGCCCAUUAAAGUUUCAGUUCUGGCCAACUCAACUAGCCAAGACAUUCUGAAUAGUUACUGUCAGAAAAAUGUGUAAAGAACUGCAGCAAAUUCUAAGUUAUUUGUAUAGAAGUUAUGAUUUGUUAGCAGUUAAUUAGUUUCUAUCUUAUCACUAAUCCUUAUUUUUAUCCUUAGGAGUAGGUUACUUAUCUUCGGUCAAGAUUGUAAAUUAUAAACAAGUCUGAAUGUUUAAUAAAGCUGUAGUUUUUGCUUUCAUCAACAUCUCUCUGUUGGCUUAUCAAACUUAUGUUCCACUUGUUUAUGAACAAGUAAAAUCAGAUUCUUAUGUUCUUCACUCUCUUCAAUUGGUAUGAGAGCAUUUAUUUCUUGAGGGAUCUGUGGGUGUUUCAUCAAAGCAGGAAUUAAAACAAGGCAAGUUUAUGAAGCAUGGAAGCAGAAUCAAGUUUUUCAACAAUGACACCACCUGUUUUUAAUGGUGAUAACUAUCAGAUUUAGGUUGUAAGGAUAGAAACUUAUCCAGAUGUCAUGGAUACGUGGGAGGCAGUUGAAGAGGAUUAUGAAAUUCCUCUGUUGCCUAACAAUCCAACUAUGGCCCACAUUAAGAAACAUAAAGACAGGAAAAUCAGAAAAUCAAAGGGGAAAGCCUGUCUAUUUUUAGCUGUAUCUUCUUCAAUUUUCACUCGAGUUAUGUCUCUAAAGUCAGCCAAAGACAUAUGGGAUUAUCUCAAGUCAUAAUAUGAAUGGGAUGAGAGGAUCAGAGGUAUGCAAGUUGUGAAUCUUAUAGGAGAUUUCGAGACGUAGAGGAUGAAAGAAACCAAAAUCAUAAAAGAUUACUCCAAAAGGCUCCUGAGCAUAGAAAAUAGGGUGAGAUUGCUUGGUUUCGUGUUUAAUGACUCUCGUAUUGUUGAAAUAAUUCUGGAAACUGUGCCAGAAAGAUUCAAAACAACCCUAACUACUUUGGAAAACACCAAGGAUCUGUCCAAGAUCACCUUGGCGGAGUUGUUGAAUGCUUUGUAGGCUCAAGAACAAUGAAAGGUCAUGAGAGGUGAAGGAAAUACAGAGGGAGCAUUGUUUAAUAAGCCUCAAGAUGGAGGCAAAAAUAAAAAGAACAAGAACUAGAAGAAUGGUGAAAGCGCUCCAGCAGGUACUACCAAAGAAAAAACUGGAAACACAAAGAGAAGUUUUCCUCCAUGUAAGCAUUGUAACAUGAAAGGUCAUCCACCAUACAAGUAUUGGAGAAGGCCUGAUGCUAAGUGUAUUAAAUGCAAUCAACUUGGGCCUGAAGCUGUCAUUUGCAAGAACAAUAAUCAGCAACAAAAAGCAGAUGCUCAAAUUAUUGAUGGAGAGGAGGAAAAUCAAAUCUUUGUUGCUACAUGUUUUUCAAGUAAAUCAUCAAGAGAGUGUUGGUUGAUUGAUAGUGAAUGCACUAAUCACAUGAUAAACAACAAGGAUCUCUUCAAGGAAUUGAAGCCUACGGCCAUUACUAAAGUCAGAAUAGGUAACAGUGAAUAUCUUUCUGAAAAGAAAAAGGAAUGGUUGCUAUUCCAAGUCACUCAGGUACUAAAACAAUUUCUGAGAUGCUUUAUGUACCUGAAAUAGAUCAAAACUUGCUUAGUGUUAAUCAAUUUAUGGAAAUCGACUUCAAAUUAAAUUUUAAAGAAAAACAUUGCUUGAUCAAGGAUGCAUCAGAUCAAGAAUCAGAUCAAGAAAUGUAUGAAGUAAGAAUAAGAGGCAAAAGUUUCUCAUUAGAUCCAUUUAAGGAGGAGCAUGUGGUUUUUUCAGUCAAAGAAAAUAUUGCAAAAUUAUGGCCCAAGAGACUCAGACAUUAUCACUAUGAAAGGUUGCUUAAAAUGAAAAAAAGUAGAAAUAGUCGAGGACUUGCCUAUUUUAGAAAUGAAUUCUUUAAAUUUCCUUGCAUGUCAAUAUGGAAAACAAAGCAAACUUCCAUUUCCAAAGACAACUUGGAUAGUCUCAAAGAAAUUGUAAAUAAUUCAUACUAAUAUAGCAGGACCUCAAAGGACUCCCUUGGUAAAAAAUAGUCUCUACUAUAUCAUUUUUUAUGAUGAUCUAACUCGCAUGCGUUGGAUUUAUUGUCUCAAGCAUAAUUCAGAGGCUGCUGAUGUCUUUUGAAAGUUCUAAGUAAAAGUAGAAAAUGAAGUUGAUUGUAAUAUUCAGUCCAUAUGAAUAAAAAAUGGAAAGGAAUAUACUUCUCAACAAUUCAACAUCUUAUGUGAGGAAGCAGGGAUUCAUCAUCAGCUUACUACUCUGUAUACUCCACAACAAAAUGGUGUAAGUGAAAGAAGGAACAGAUACAUAAUGGAGAUGACCAGAUGCAUGUUGCACGAGAAGAACUUGCUAAAGAAAUUUUGGACAGAAGCAGCAAAUACAUUAGUUUUUCUACAAAAUAGGCUUUACACAAAGGCGGUGAAAGAUCAAACUCUUUCUGAAGCUUGGUAUGGGUUUAAACCAUCAUUAAACUUCCUUAAAAGUGUUUGGUUAUUUUCCUACGUUCCUUAGGUUAAACAAGACAAGCUAGAUAAAAAAAAAUUAUCCCAGAUAUUUUUAUUGGAUACAAUGCAGUUUCAAAGGCGUAUAAAGUCUUCCAACCACAAACUGAAAAUAUAAUCUUUGGUAGAGAUAUGUAUUUUAUGGAGAAUAGAGACUGGUGUUGGGAAGACUCACAGUCGAACUGAGCAAAAAAGUUUCCUGCCAAAGUUCCUAAAAAGCAAAUAUCACUCUCAUGGAAAGAUGAAAUGGUGGAUCAUUCACUAGGUACUCGUCUAUUCACUGAUAUAUAUCAAAGAGGCAAUGUGGCAGUAUGUGAACCUGUUGGGUACAUUGAAGCCAAGAUCGAUGAAAAUUCGGUGGCUGCAACGAAAUAGGAGUUGUAAAUGAUUAAGAUAAACAUGACUUGGGAACUUGUUGAUCAACCUGAAGACAGAAAGGUAAUUGGGUUGAAAUGGGUCUUUAGAACAAAGUUAAAUGUUGAUGGUUUAGUCAACAAGUAUAAAGCAAGACUUCUCGUUAAGGAAUAUGCUCAAAUUUUUUGUGUGGAUAAUUUUGAUACAUUUGCAUCAGUGUCUAGGCUUGACACGAUAGGGUUACUUCUUGCUCUUGCUACACAAUUAGGCUAGAAAAUGUAUUAGAUGGAUGUCAAAUCAGCAUUUCUUAAUGGUUUUCUCCACGAAGAAAUUUAUGUUGAGAAACCCAAAGGCUUUGUGGCAAAAGAAAAGGAGGACAAAGUUUACAAGCUAAGAAAGGCUCUUUAUGGACUUAAACAGGCACCAAGGGCCUAGUAUGGUCGAAUAGAUGAUCAUUUGCUUGGAUUAGGCUUUGAAAAGAGUCUAUCAUAAUCUACUCUUUAUGUUAAACAUAAUGGCAUUGAUAUUCUUGUUGUGUCUAUAUAUGUGGAUAAUGUCCUAGUUACAGGGAGCAAUACAAGGCAUACUGAGGAUUUCAAGCAAGAAAUGAUGAAAGCUUCAAGAUGACUAAUCUUGGUCUAUGUCCUAUAUUUCUGGAAUGGAAAUCAAAAAGGGAAAAUAAAGUUUUCAUUUGCUAGAAGAAAUAUGCUAAGGAAAUCUUCAAGAAUUUCAACAUGAAAGAUUGCAAGGAGAUGAGUACUCCUAUGGAACAAAAAGAGAAACUAAGAAAGAAUGAUGGAGUAGAGCAAAUAGAGAAAACGUACUUCAAAGGCUUAAUCAGUUUUUCGAUGUAUCUUACAGCUACAAGACCCGAUGUUUUGGAUGCUAUAAGUAUUUUAUCGAGGUUAAUGCAUUGUGCUAGUGAGCUGCAUCUAAAAGAAGCAAAAAGAGUUAUCAGAUAUAUCAAAGGAACCAUUAAUUAUGUUGUCAAGUUUCAGAAAAGUCCAAAUUUGAAACUACUUGGGUAUUCUGAUAGUGAUUGAGAUGGAUUAGUACAUGACAUGAUGAGCACAUCUGGAUAUUGAUUUACUCUUGGCUCAAAAUAUUUUUGAGGUGCUCAAAGAAGAAGGAUAUUGUGUCUCCACUGCAGAGGCAAAAUUUGUGGCUGCAACAGCACAGCGAAUCAAGCUCUGUGGUUGAGGAAAAUAUUUGUUGAUCUACAUAUGAAUCAAACAAAAGGAACUGAAGUAUUUGUGGACAAUCAAUUUGCAAUAGCAAUUUCUCACAAUCCUGUAUUUCAUGCCAAAAUAAAAUACUUCAACAUCAAGUUUUUCUUUAUGAGGAAAGUGCAAAAAAUUGGUGAUGUGAUUUUGCUUUAUUUCAAAACCGAGGAGCAACUGGCUGAUAUCUUUACCAAGACUUUACCAGGAAACAAAUCUCAACUUCUCAAGAAAACACUUGGAGUUUUGAUACGAUAAAAACUUGGAUCGUAUAAAAAAGAAGUCAAAACUGUCCACAAACAAAGGGAAGAGAGCAAUACAAACACAAUUCUCGGCUCCAACAACAACAAGAAACAAGGCGUAAAUGACUAACAAUAACAAGGGAUAAACAACAUUAUAAUAAGAAGAACCACAAUAGGAUAACAACAAUCCAAUGAUUACAAGAUUCCAAGAACUAACAGUUUUCCUAGAUUACACUAACUAAGACAUGAAUUGUAGAGAUAGUUAGUGAGACAUACACUAUAAUAAGACCCAAGAAACCAAAGAUAUAUUAAAUAUAAGGACCCCUAAGACUUACAAUAGCAACACCACACUCUUACGAAGACACGAGAGGGAUUCCACCGCUCAAGCACCAUCGUUUCCAAGCAAUACACAUUCACAAGUGAGUCCACACUUGCUCAUGUCCUAGUUUCGGCCUAGGGAGGCUCUCUCUUAAUAGAAGUGUUCUUUCAUCAAUAUUAAAUAACUAAUGAACUAAAAUCCUAUCAUGUUCUAUUUAUAGACUUAUUACAAUAAGAGGUAAGAAGAUAAAAGAACCCUUCAAUAAAAAGGGCACAAAAUAGGUGCCCAUGGAGUGUGUUUUGGGGUGGCUUUGUGCACACCAAGGCCCUUCGUCACACUUUAAUUUGUACACUACCUCAGUUGCAUUCAAAAUACUCAAAAAUGUCCAUCUUCAUUAUUGUGCCCGUAUCAACUUUGUAGCUUUUAAAGCAAGGAGGAAAUACAUAAGAACUGCAACAGUCUAAAUUCUAAGUUAUCUGUAUAGAAGUUAUGAUUUGUUAGCAGUAUCCCUAAUCUUCAUCCUUGUCCUUAGAAGUUGGUCACUAUAUUUGGUUAAGAUUGUAAAUAAUAAACAAGUUUGAAUGUUUAAUAAAGCUAUAGUUUUUGCUUUCAUCAACAUCUCUCUGUUGGUUUAUCAAACUUAUGUUCCACUUGUUUACCAACAAGUGAAAUCAGAUUCUUAUGUUCUUCACUCUCUGGAAACUCACAGUUAAUCUUGGAAGAAGAAAAUGAACUAGGAACAUCACACUGAUCUUAAUAGAUCGACUUUCAUACUAGUUCUUGCUCUAGAAAAGACGAUGUAUUAUGAUACUUUCUGUUUCUCCCGAGGACCAAUUUACUAUACAUGAAAGUCAAAAAGUUGCUCUACAAAAACCUUGUUUGAAGUGAAAUUUAAUAUACUUCACCCUUAAGAGAAAAAGAAAAGAACAAAAAAAAGUGACAACAAUUUGGAAACACCAUGAAGAAAGAAGAAACACCUAAAUAAUUCUCUCUAAACAUAUUGGUACAAUAAACACUCUAUAUAAACUCUCUUUUUUGCUGAUAAAAGGCAACAAAAACUAAGACAGAAAUUUUACAAAUUCUACGUUACCUUAAAUCUACUGUAAAAUCAUUAACUUCUGAUGCAAGAUGCAUAUGUUGCUGAAUUUCGCAACAGAUAAUGCUAUCAAUCUUCUUUAUCACUUUCAGAGCUUCCAUCAAGCCCAAAGAAGAACUAAAGGUAAAAAGAUAUGUGCUUUAUACAAAUAGUAUUCGAUAUGGAGUCUCAUUUCUCUCCCUUCAUCUCGAAAAGUAAUAGGCUACAAAUGGUUUUUUAGACUCGAGAAAAAUUCUGAUGGCACAGUUUCCUAGUAAAAAGCGCAAUUAGUUGCAAAAGGGAACUCCCAAACCUUUGGAUAUGAUUGUCUUAACACAUUUAGUCCAGUAGCAGUAAGGACUACAGUUCGAAUAAUCAUUAAAAUAGCAGUCACUAACUAUUGGCAGAUUCGUCAAGUUGAUAUAAAAAAUAUUUUUCUUAACGGAGACCUUAAGGAGGAGGUAUUUUUGAAACAACCUCCUGUCUUUGAGCAAACAGAUUAAAAAGAAAGACUACUGGUAUGUAAACUUCACAAAGAACUUUAUGGUUUUAAGCAAUCUCCCCAUGUUUGGUUUGAAAAGUUAAGUGACUUUCUAAUUGAUAAAUUGGGCUUCAAAGAAUGUGUCACUGAUCCAGCUUUCUUCUACUUAAUCUCUUCUUCUAGUUUCACAUAUCUAGUAGUCUACGUUAAUGACAUCCUAAUCACAAGAAACAACAAUUGCUUUAUUAAGGAACUGACUUAUCAUCUUUAUUUGAAUUUCUUACUUGAGAAUCUAGGAUUACUUUCCUUUUUUCUAGGAAUCGAAAACCACAGAAUUGGCAACCAACUCCGACUCAAGACAAACAUGUUUGGGUCACAAUCCAUUUCUACACCAAUGGUUGGACAUCCACCUUUGCCUCUUACUGAUGGGGUUACUAAUGAGCACAUGAAAGAAUAUCGGAGCAUUGUUGGAGCUCUUCAGUACGUGGCUUCACCCGGCCAGAUAUUGCAUUUAAUGUCAACAAGGUUGGCCAGUCCCUACAAAAUUCUCUUGACAAACACUGACCAGCUGUUAAGCGAAUCUUACGCUACCUCAGAGGUAUGCUGGACUAUGGUCUACUCUACACUCCAGCAGGACAUCAAAUGCUAACAGGAUUUUCAUAUGCAUAUUAGAGUAGUUCAAUAGAUGAUUGCCGAUAACCUACAGGCUACUAUGUGUUUUUAGGAGGAAAUCUGGUUGAGUGGAGCUCUAAGAAAAAAGAUGUAGUAUCGUGAUCCACAAAGGAGGCUAAAUACCUCAGUUUGGCAGAUGACAUUCAAAAAUUUCUCUACAUCAAAGCCUUAAUCUUAGAAAUUGGUGUGCAAUCUCUGUUCAAACCAGUAAUUUGGUGUGAUAACACUAGCACUUGGAGAUUGCUCUUAAUUUCACCAGAUAAAAGGUUAUUCCUGGUCAGUUUGAUGUGAAUUUUGUGCUUGCUUCCCAAUAAAUUGCUGAUGGAUUCACUAAGCCCCUAACAGAAGACAAGUUCAUACUGUUUCAAAAUGGUCUAGUAGAUCCAUGUACUUGUAUGUUUUUGUAUUCUAGACCUUCCUAACUACUCAACCCCUUUUCAACUAUACUCAAUCAAAAGAAGCCCUCCUACAUCACAUAAAUUGAUGUCAUGUCAUAAUUAUCUUCAUUAACAAUAUUUUAAAAUUAUUAAUCAAAAAUGUUAAAUAAAAGGCUAAAAUAAUAAGUUUUAAAUUUAAUUUUUAAGUAAAAUUCCUAUUUCUCACAUAUUCCUCCUCCUCCCUCAACCCACAACCACAGUCACCAUCAUCCCCACAACCAACAUCACCAUAACAUUGACCCCCCUACCCCUAUUCUUUUUUCUCCCAUUUAAUUUUUUCUUCAUACAAAAAAGAGGGACAUCGAGAAUGCAAGUCUUUAAAUUUAUUAAAAUUAUAUUCUUUAUAAUUUAGUUUUUUUAAAACAAUGUAAAUAUGUUAUUCACUUGCCUCACACCCGUGUAGUCACACAUUUUCUCAAACUCAACCAUAUUAAUGCUAUGUAAGCCUGGUCAAUAGUCAGAGAGGUUUGAAAUAUUGUAUUUUACUGAGUUUAGGGUUCAGUUGGCAAAGGGGUGAGCAUGAGAAUUUGGAAUACAUACUCAUACAAGUAUAAGGGUCUAGUAGACCAUUUCACCUUUCAAAAUUGAUUAGGAGUGCUUCCACAGAAUUUAUCUCCUAGUUUUCACAGCAUAGAAGAUUAAACAGAACAUAAAUCUUCAACAUCAGACAAGCAAGGAGAAUAUCAGAGAUAUAGUUGCUUCUAUUUCAUAAAACGGCAUAGUUUUAGUUGUUCUUAUCCAUUGUAAAUGCAAUUGUCAUUGUAUUUACAUUCUCCUCUCAUGUUAGGACACGUAGCCACUUAAAGUGCUAUAUAAAGCACCCUUUGUUGUACUCAUCGAUCACAUAGAAAAGGACAUUCUUGUGUUGCUAUAUUUGCAUGUCCACUUUAUUAGGUUAAAACCCUCGUAGCCGCCUUUUCAACUCUUUUGUUCAUUUUCUCUACCCUCUCCGCCGCCUUUGCAAUUCCUCCAUUCACUUUCUUCACCCUCUCCACCUCUUCUCUACACUUUUCCUUCGACACCAUUUUUACUCAGUAAAUAGUAAUAAUAAUACUAAAGAAUUUGAAUAAGUGAUUAGGAUAAAAGAAAAGGUAAGGAGAAGAGAUGCUUAAAUAGGAAAAUAGUAGGGGAAGCAAACAAAAGCACAGUCAAGGGCAAAUUAGCAUUUAAUUCAUUGUUCGAUUCACUUUCUCCGCCCUUGAUAGUGCUUUUGUUUUCUUCCUCUACCAUUUUCCUAUUUAAGCAGCUCUUUUUCCCUACGUUUUCUCUCAUUCUAAUCACCUGUUCAAAUGUCUUUGUAUUAUUAUUACUAUUUACAAGCGUGAAAAUGGAGGAGAAUCAAAAAUGUAGGAAGGCAGUUAUGAAGGCAAUAAAAGUGAACAGAGGAGUUCUAAAGGCAGCAGAGAAAGUGAGUAAGGAGUUGCUAAAGCGGCGGAUAAGGCAGAGAAAGUGAAUGGAACAGAAGCAAAGGCCAUAGCAAAGGCAGAGAAAGUGAACGGAAGAGUUGCAAAAGGCAGUGGCAAGGCAGGAGAAAGUGAACGGAAGAAUUGCGGAGGCGGCAACGAAGGCGGAGAAAGUGAAGGAAGGUGCCAAAGACAGAAGAUCCAAGGAAAGUUCUGCUGAAAAUUGAUUUAGUUACUGUAGUAAAUUUUAGUUAAUAAGUUGUUUAGAAUUAAUAUUAGUUUGAAUUUUAAAUUUAAAUUAGGUUGUUUAGUUGUUGAGAAAUUUUGGGUUUUUGAAUUUUAAAUUAUGCAGAUUUUUAUUUUAUGUUGGCUAUUUAAAGCCCCAUAAUGUUCAAUAAAAUCAUUGAAAGCUGUUGAAAACUCAUUGAAAGCUAUUAAAAGUUAUUCAAUCCAUUGAGAGUCAUUUUAAUUUCUUUUUGCUACCACUUUUUUUAAAAAAAAACAGUUCAGAGCCUCAUUGUUCUUACGGGAUCUGUAAGUUCUUCCAAAGCACUACCAUACCAUUUUAAACUCAUAAGGGCUACCUUUUUAACCCAUCAAGGCUCCAUUUUAACCCAUCAGGGCUACCUUUCUAAUCCGUUAGGGCUCCAUUUUAACCCAACAGGGUUACCUUUUUCAACCCAUGAUUAUUUUUAAAGCAUAGGAUUAUUUUAAACCAAAAAUAUGUCAAGCAGCAGUCUCUCUUUGAAUGCCCCAAAAAUUUUCACCGCUAAAAACUGUCUAAUUUGGUCGGUGAAGAAAUCAUAUCUUGAAACCUAUCUUUUAUGUGAUGUUUUGAGGGAUGAAAAAACUUUACAACAGUUUGCAAAGCCUAUGAAAGUACUUUCAAACAAGAAAAAAUUAUUGAUGGUGUUUUUCCAGCAAAGAAUAAAAAGAAAGAAGAGAAAGAUUAAUAUCAAAAAGAAAAAGUGCAAUUUCAAAAAAUUAAAAAAUUCAGCAUGAACUGUCAGAGCAAGAAUUAAGGAGGAGCAGUUUUUUAGCAGUAACUAAGCCAAAGAAGGAGUAUUGAAAAUUGAUUUAUUUACUGCAAUAAAUUUUAGUUGAUAAGUUGUUUAGAAUUAAGAUUAGUAUGAAUUUUAAAUUUAAAUUAGGUUGUUUAGUUGUUGAGAAAUUUUAGAUUUUUGAAUUUUAAAUUAUGCAGCUUUUUAUUUUAUGUUGGCUAUUUAAAACCCUAUAAUGUUCAAUAAAAUUAUUGAAAGCUAUUGAAAGCUGUUGAAAGCUAUAGAAAGUUAUUCAAUCCAUUGAUAGCCAUUUUAAUCCCUUUUUGCUGCCCCAUCUUCCUUUUUAUAAAAAAAAAACAACAAGUUCACUACAAUAUUGUUUCUUGUUAUUGUAUGACAUAUCCAUGAGUUGUUCACUUUUUCCUUCUCUCUUGCCCCUUUAUUAACUUUUUCUUUUUCCCUGACUGUAAUUUUCUUUCAAGUUAUCUGUAAUACCCCAUAUUUCUCUAGCCUAGAUUAACCCUCAGUACAUGUGUUAUCCUAAAUAAAUUUUUUGAAAUACUUAGUAUUUUUCAGUUAGAGUCUGCCAUUGUGUAUAAAAUUCAAUUAGCUUUUCAAUGAUAUAAAAUUUGCCUAAAUCUGAUAACCGAUAAAGAAGUUAUAGCGAUUUUAAGUUUCAGUCGUUAAACAUCGUCAUAUAGGCCAGUAGCACGUUGCGGAAUGUGUCAAAAUAGUAAUUAUCAGUUUUCAGUGUUGCUCCACCAUAUUGGCACAUCGCGCCAUAGCUCAUUUUCACAAUUGUUAAUUUCCUGAGGCGCUCUGCGAUUGUACCGCGUCGCACCAAGUUUCCAGGUCUCAUCCAGUAUGACAACGCGAUUUCCACCACAUCGCGCCACCAUGCAAUUUUCCAGUUGGCAAUUUCCAGUGGAAUGGCGCAAUGGUGGCACAUUGCACCAAGGGCCCAAAUUAGAAAAUUUCAACGAAAAUUAAAAAUUUCAUCCAGGGUUAAAUUGGUCUUUUCCCAAGGUUUUAACACAUUCAAGAAUGGGAUUUAAUCUCUAAAAAUAUUUUAAAUCAUUAAUUACUCACUUUUUCCCCAAAUUAAGAACACUCUCUCUCAAGAAACAAACCCUAACUCUCAAGAAUCAAGGUCAAUCUCAAGAAAUCCAUCCAAGAACUUCAAGAAACUCUCAAUUAAGGUAUGUUAGGUGUUUAUCUAUGGGCUCCUUUCACCCAUAGAGUUCAAAAAUCCAUUUUAAAAACUUCAAGAAUCAUGAUUUAUGAUUUCCAUGCUUUAAAUUGAAUGUAUUCAUGUUCAUGAUAUAAAUUAGGAUGCAAUUCAUGUUUACUUAUAAGUUUCCAUGAAAUUAAGAUAGUUAUGUGAUGGGUAAUGUAAGUUGAAUGCUAAACCCUUGAAAUUGAAAUCAAGUAGAUAUUCGUGAUGUUCAUGUGUUGACCGUUGUCAUGUGAAAUAUACCAUGCUCCCCAAGUGUUUGCUAAAAUUCCUAUGUAAAAUAGAUAGUGGAAUCAUGACAUGUCAUUUUGUGGUCCCAAAGUAUAUAUAAGCUUAUGUCAUACAAUUGUUUGACAAAAUGUCUCUAUGAAUGAAUUAUGGACAAGUGAGUGUUGCUUUGUUACUUAAGAGCAUGUGAUUCUUUACUCUUCAUGCUAUCGAGUCCUGGGGGUAUUUAAUACUAGAUAAUUUAGCGGUAUACUUAGAGCCAGUGUCAGUUAUAGAAUUGUCUCAGUCAUGUCACGAUCAGUACUACUCUCAGUCAGUUGUAGAACUUAAUAGAACUUAGUCAGUUAUGAAACUCAGGAAAACUCAAUAAUCAGUAUCAGCCCAGUUCAAUUCAGUAUAAUUAAUUCAGUGUCAUUCAGAUGGGUGUAGGAUUCAGCACUAUGAACCCAAGGAUGGGGGCUCACCUGCCAGCAGAGGGGUGAUCCUUAGAAGUAAUCCUUGUAUUCCAGAACUACGUAGCCAGCGUAGGUUGACACAUUAAACCUGCCAGUUGAGGGUUGAUGGGAUGUUUUAACCUGCCAGAUUAGGGUUCCACCAUACUCGUUAGAGUAGCUUCUAGAUGAGGUUUACUCUCAGCUUGUCCUUACCCGUGGCACGGUAUUGACACCCUUCCAAUUGGGGUUACAGAUUGGAUCCCAACUUAGUUAUCUUACCUUAUUUGGGGCAUAUCAGUUAGAUGAUUACCUCUCACGGUUUCAGUCUCAGUCUUCAUAAUAGAACUCAAUUUAGUUCUAUAGAAUCAAGACUGUCAUAUAUAGUCACUCAGCAUCAGUAACUCAGAUUAUCAAGAUUCAGUUCUUAGCUUCAGAAAAGUUCAGUUACAGUAUAUCUAUAUAUGUGUAUAUGCACAGAUUACGUACUCAGUAUUUACAGUAGUUUCAGUUAUCCAAAUAUUCUCAUGUCCAGUUACUCUAUAUCAUUCAAAUAGUUAUUGUUCAUGUAUGUGAAUCCCUACAUUCAGCCUUACCUCAUCUAGAAUACCAGUAUAUUCCCACGUACUUAUGCAUACCUUCCUACGCUAUUAUGUUUCAUAUCAUAGGUUCAGAUGCUCAGGUUCCUAACCGCGCAGAGCUUGAUUCAGAAAUAGAUAAUAGUAGAUCUAGUAGUGAGUCCUCAUCUAUCGAGGAUAUGUUUUCACAUAAGUAUUUCAGUAGUUUCAGUAUUUCAGUAAAUAGAGUUAGUUGGGGGACUAUUCCAUCAACUCCACUUUCAGACAGUUUAUAUUAGAGGCUUUUCAGACUAGUUUCAAAUAAUAUUUCAGAUUCAGAUGUUUUAUCAGAUGUUAUUAUUCAUUAUUGGUAUUUUAGACUUUGAAACUUAUGGCAUUUCAACCUAAUUUUCGUAGUUAAUUCAGUAUAUUAUUCAACGCUCACAGCAGAUAUCAAUCAUGGGUUAGCUUAUGGUUCUUUGGGGUCAUAAGCAUUGUGUGGUAAUCAGGGUACAGACUCGGGUUAUUAAAAACUUAGUAUUAGAGCCUAAGGUUCAAUAGUAUCCUAGAAAUUCUGAAAGCCGUAUCUAGUAGAGUCUUGUACAAAGGUGUUUAGCGCGCCACACUUAUGGACAAGAGGCUAUGAGUGUUUUAAGAAUAGUUUCCCUUCUUUUAGUAUUCAGCCCGUGCAAGUGAGCAUGACCUCAAGUUAAACUCUCAGUCUAAUUUGAUUCUUCCUUUUAUUUACAGAACAUGCCUCCCAAAAGGACUAACGAAAAGAAAACCAAAAAUCAGUCAGCACCUCAACCUGUUCAGGAAGAUCCCCUGGAUGAGCAUAUCUCUCAUGCAGAGUCAGAGCUGCAUUCACUACUCUAGCCAAUUCAGUCAUAGCUCAGAAUGAAUGACCAGCUACUAUUCUGACCAAUACUGCUGCAGCCAGGAUUCGGGACUUCACCCAGAUGAAUCCUCCCAUAUUUUUUGGAUCUAAGUCAGAAAAGGAUCCACAAGAGUUCCUCGAUCAACUUCAAAAAAUCACAGAUAUCAUGGGAGUGAAUUUCAGUGAGAAUGCUAAGUUAGCCGCUUACCAACUACAAUAUAUAGCUCAUACGUGGUUUAAGUAGUGGAAGGUAGACAGGGUACAGAUGCAGACCCUAUAUAGUGGGAAGAAUUUGUUGCCGCCUUCCUAGACAGAUUCUUUCCCUUAGAGCUAAGAGAGGCCAAAGUGUUAGAGUUCAUCAACCUCAAGCAAAGUAGUAUGAGUGUGAAAGAGUAUUCCCUCAAGUUUACUCAGUUAGCUUGGUACGCUCCCCAUGUAGUGGCAGACAGUAGGUCUAAGAUAAGCAAGUUCGUGUCAGGGGUGUCAGAUAGUAUGGUUAAGGAGUGUAGAACAACGAUGUUGAUUAAGGAGAAAAAUAUAUCUAGGCCCAUGGUCUAUGCUCAACAGAUAGAGGAGGCUAAGAUUAUAGAGAGGGAGAGGCUUAACUAGACAGCUAGAAUAGGUAGCUUUAAUUUUAAUCAACCCAAGUUAGAGGGAGAUAACCGUUCCUAGUUUCACCCAAAAUCUUCAGUUCCAGCUCCAUCCUUAGCCAGUGCUCCUAUUCCUAAAUUCAGAAACUGUAACAAUGAUAGGGCGCUAGGCUCUAAAUCUCAAGGUAGUGUCAGCAGUGCUCGAACAAAUCCUCUUUGUCAGACAUGUGGUAGAAACCACAAGGGUGUCUGCAUAGCUGGCAAUGAUGUUUGUUUCAGAUGUGGCAAGCCAUGCACAGAGUCAGGGAUUGUCCUCAAUCAGAAUCUCAGGGUCAUCAUACUCGUUCUUCAGCUCAAUCAGGUCACCCAAAUCAGCAGGGUGCCACUUCCAGUGACUCUAGUGGACAAUGGCCAAACAGGCUCUAUGCACUUCAAUCCAGACAGGAUCAGGAAAAUUCUCCUUAUAUGGUCAUAAGUACAUUACAAAUCUUCCAUUUACAUGUUUAUGCCUUACUAGAUCCAUGAGCUUCUCUAUCUUUCGUAACCCCCUACAUAGCAGUCGACUUUAAAGUCAAACCAGAAGUCCUAACAGAACCUUUCUCACUCUUUACUCUAGCGGGUCAGUCUAUCAUAGCUCGAUGGGUAUACAGGAACUAUCCGGUUACAAAAUCUCAGAAAAUCACUUUAGCUGACUUAAUAUAAUUAUAGAUGAUAGAUUUUGAUGUCAUUCUCAGCAUGGAUUGGUUCCAUUCAUGCUAUGCCUCGGUUGACUGUAGAAACAGAAUCAUUUAUUUUUAGUUUCCAAAUGAACCACCCUUGAAUGGAGGGGUAGUACUACAAAGCUUAGGGGUUACUCAAUUUCAUACCUUAGAGCGAGAAAAAUAAUAUCCAAGGGGUGUGUUUAUCAUCUUGUGUGAGUCAAGGACUCUAAUGCAGAAACUCCCAGUCUUGAGUCAGUUCCAGUAGUGAAUGAAUUCUCUGUUGUGUUUCCUAAAGAUCUUCCUGGAGUUUCUCCAGUUAGGGAAAUAGACUUCGGAAUAGACCUUCUUCUAGAUACUCAGCCCAUAUCUAUUUCUCCAUAUAGAAUGACACCAACUUCCUUUAAAAUAAAUUAUGUACGCCCUUAGUAUAUCCUCCAAAGUCUAAAUAGGAUGCUCCGCUUGUCUGUAAUACGAUGGUGUAGCAACGCUCUAUUAAGGCAUUUAAAAUGACCUUUAGGAACCCCGUAGUGAUGGUGGAUCAUGUGUUGACAUUGUGGGAGGUGUUAGGGGUGUUUUGGGACCUCAAAAGUAAGUAGGCAUCGUAAAAUAGGGCCUAGGUGAUGGCUAGGCUUCGUAUUGCCAUCGCCUACCAUCAUUAGAAUGGUUACGCAAUAGUCUGGGCAUUACUCACCUUAUGUUAGGCAAUGGGAAAGGAGCCGCCCAACUGAAGGUUAGGUUAUGGGCUGGGCGCGGCCUACCCUAUAUUUUGCAGCAUAGGGGCUCAAUUUUGAAUUAUUUCAAGGGAAACCAAGUCUUUUUAUGUCCCAUAACCAUCCCUAAAUAUCUUAACAUGAGAUUAAAGUCUCUAAAUACGCUUUAACACUAUCAAAUCCCUAGUUCAUAUCCCUAAAACACAAAAGGAGAAAAAUAACCUAGGGUUUAGACAUUCAAGCUUAAGGGGUCGAUUUCUUUGCAAUUUCUUUGUCAUUAAGGUAUGUGGGACGAUCCUAAAAUACAUGGGCAUAAGUCUUAUCAUUUUAUAAAGUUAUAUAGAUUCAUAAUUACAUUUACUAAAAACGGUUUUGACAUAGUUUUGAAUAGUAUGUAUCAUGGAAUUAUUUUGUUGAAAGUAUAUGCUAUCUUGAACUCCUUUCGUAAAAUUGAACUAUAGCCAUAUACAUAUGUGUUUUUCCACUUUGAAAAGUUUAACUGAGAGUAUGAAUAAUGAGACUCCCUCUCAAUGUAUAAAUUUGAUCAAUUUAGCAUGUUAUGGUUGAUAAAUUACAUGUCCUAAAGUAUGAAUCAAGUGUUUUACUAUAAUUCAUAGAUUUUAAUAUUGGUCAUGGAUUGAAAAGAGGGUGUUUCCUUAAUAUAACUAUACUAUUUGUAUUAAAUGAAAGAAGUGCAUGUGAUUAAAUGAUUGAAAUGGUCACUGCGUGUUUAAGUCUCAAGAAGAGAGUGUGUUUGCAAAAUAUUUCAUGUUCAUUCGAAAUUGAGAACUCUCUUAUGAUGUUAUAAAUCUUUUGGUGGUCAUUUGUAUGUUUUGAAUGAGAAGGGUUGUGGAAUUCAUAUGAAUGACUUGCAAAUCUGGGUAUGACGAUACCCUGUGUGAUAUGCCCUUAAUAGAAUGAGAAAAGAACUACUUUUAAACAUGAAGCAUGCUGGUUUUAAGAGGCUAAAAAAUUGGGCUUAAAGAGACUUAGAUGGUUACCCAAAGAAAGCACAAGUUGGAAGACUCAAUGCUGGAAAUCAUGAUUUGCCGACAUGGGAUUAUGGUACCCUACUUUAUAAUCUUGUGUACCUUGAUUCAUGUCGUCCCAAUUUGGGUCUAUGGUUAGGAUCCCUGCUUUGUGGUCUUGUGCACUACCAUGACAUGUUGAUUUGAUUGGGGAUUAUGGUACCCUGCUUUUUGGUCUUGCGUGUCUACCUUACUGAUACUCCAAUCCUUGCGAAAAACUUGGAUUGGGGGAUUGGCCGCCGAGUCAAAGGAGAAUCCCAUAUAGCCCGUAGAAUAAUCAGGAUUGUAGGGUGUACCAUCUAGCGCAAAAGUAUAUAAAGAAUAAGUCACAAUUUCCAAGAGUUGUUUGAAGUUCAUUUCAGUAUGCACAUAUGUUUUCACUUAUGCAUUAUGUUUAUUGUUUUAUGAAAUGCUCUCAUUACGUUGUAUAAAAACAUAUUAUUUUAGAUUGUUUAACAUACCAGUACAUUGUGUAUUCACCCCCUAUAUUUUAGGAUUUGAGGCUCAGCCCCGGGGUCUCGCUAAGCAGUAGAUUGUGGUCAGACGUUUAGAGUUGGUAAGCUUCCCUUAUUUCAGAAGUCCUUGUUCAUAUGAUGUUUUUAGUUAGUUUUAGUUCAUGGUCCAACCGGGGGCCUUGUCACGGUUUCAGAUAGAUGUUAUUUUCAUUUUAGUAGAAAUUUUGUAGACUUGUUAUAGAUGGUUUUGGGUCUUUAUGAACUUAUGUAUGUAUUGUUAUGUUGCAAUAAUAAGAUGACCAUGUUUCUGGUUUACUUCCGCAUUUGAUAAUAGAUGAAUUAUGUAUAUAAUUGCAAGCUAAGAGGGUUCUCGAGCCUUCAUGGUUUGGGAUGUCCGUCGCGGCCAGGGCCUCGGUUCGUGUCGUUACAUUGUCCAUCCGUUUAAGGGUGGAAAGCGGUGCUAUAGUUCACCUGAGUACCCAAAACUUUCUAAAAAGAACCCCAGAAGUGAGAAAAAAUUGCAUAUCUCGGUCAGAAAUAAUCGAUAUUGUCACUCCAUGCAACUUGACUAUCUCCUUAAUAAACAACUUUGCAUAAUCCUCUCUUAAGUGGUUAGUCCUCACGGGUAGGAAAUAGGCAGACUUGGUUAUCCUAUCAACAAUGACACAAAAGGAUCAUCAAACUGGUUUUGAGACCACGGAAGAUCCAUUACAAAAUCCAUGUUAAUCAUAUCCCACUUCCACAUGGGCAAUUCUAUAUCUUGCUAAGUACCACCUGGCCUUAGAACUCCACCUUGACUUACUAAAAGAAUAUGGCAACAAAUUUACCACAUCCCUCUUCAUAUUAUUCCACUAAUUGAUUUCCUUCAAGUCAUGAUAUAUUUUGUUUGAACCCGGAUGAACUGUAUAUCUGGACUUAUGAUCUUCAGUCAAGAUCCUUUUCAAUCCCCAUAUACAUUAGGAACACACAACCUACCUUGAUAUAUCAAGAUGUCAUCUCCGCUAAUCUCAAAAUCCAUUAUCUUUUGUUGACCCAUAUCAUUUGUAAUUUGUAUGAGUAUAGGAUCCAGAAACUGUUUCUCUUUGACCUCAGUCCCUAGAGAUGAUUUAACCACCUCCUAAAUGAUUACCGUUCCAUCCUUGGAGUCUAAAAGGUGAACCUCUUAAGUUUGUAAAUCGGUGAAUAUCUUUUACCAAAACCCUUUUCUCCUCCUCAACAUGGGACAGACUCCCCAUAGAUAACCUGCUAAGAGCGUCAGCAACAACAUUAGCUUUACCUGAAUGGUAGUGCAGUCUCAUGUCAUAACCCUUAAGUAAUUCGAGCCACUGAAUCUGCCUGAGAUUCAUUUCCUUCUGCGUAAUACAUACUAUAAACUCUUAUGAUCAGAAUAAAUAUCCACGUGCACCCCAUAAAAAUAGUGAUGCCAACUCAUAACGCCCCGAGAAUACACCCUGGGCAUCAUACGGUGCUUAUGACCCUGAAGGACCACAAGCUAACCCAUAAAUGGCACCUGCUGUGAAUACUAAAUAAUAAUCAUAAAACAUAUGUGGAAUUAAAGUUGAAAAUUUCAUAAGGUCCAUAACACUGAAAAAAUAAAUAUCGAGUACAUCUGUGAAAUAAUUGCUAACUGAAAGUGUCUAAAAGCCUCUAAACAUCUUAAAUAAAAGAGUUGGUGGGAUAGGCCCUAACUAACUCCAACUAAUAUCUAAAAAUAAUUAAAAUACUAUAAGUAAUGCAAUGACUAAAUAAUUAUGACAUCCUUGAUGGAUGAGGACUCACUACUGCAGCUGUGGUAGAUCGAAUGAUCUGGCUAAGUAUGGUUAGGAACUCGAGAGUCUGAACCUAUGAUAUGAGACAUCAUAGUGCAAAGAGAGUAUGCGUCAGUCCUUUGAAUGUACUGGUACGCUAGGUAAGGGUAGGCUAAUAUACAUGGGUUCAUAUGCAUGACUAAUAAUAACUAAAUAUCACGAAGUAACUAGAUGAGAGUAUAUGCAAGACUGGGACUACUGAAAGUACUAAACAUACAAUACCAAGCAUAUAUCAUUUGUCUGAAUUAGACUAAAAUUGAAGUACUGAGUUUUUGAUAACUGAAUACUGAUAACUAAAAGUUUAGACUGAAAUUGAAGUACUAAAUCUCUAAUAACUAAAUAACUGAUAAUUGUAAGUCAAGAUCGCGUAGAACUACACUGAGUUCUAUACUGAAUAUUGAAACUGAGACUAUGGAAGUUAUAAUCUAACUGACAUGCUUAGAUUAUAGACUGAUUUGGUGUCCAACCUAUAACCCCAGUUGGAAGGGUUUUAGCAUCUUGCCACGGGUUACUAACACUGGCUGGGUCAACCCUAAUCUGCUAGGAAGACUCAUGAGAUGUAUAUGGUUAGGUCAACCCUAGUCUGGCAGGAAGACGAUUUACCCUACGCUGGUUAUGUAGUUAUGUAAAUCAGGGACUGCUACUAAGGGUCAAAUACUAUACUAGAAAGAAUUCCCCCAUCCCUGGGUUCGUUUGGUGAUGAAUCCUAUUCCUAACUAAAUCGAUACAAAAUUGAUCACCAGAUUGUACUAGGCUUGACUCAUCUCACACUGAUUCUGUUAACUAACCGAAUGCUACUAUUCGGGAUUCUACGGAAUCAUUGUAUUCCAACUGAAGACUAGAUAAACAACUAAUUUUGGGUAUUCAACACCCCAGGACUCGAUAGCAUAGAUAAUGGAACCAUAUCUCAACUUUAAAAGCAUCACACAUAGGUUGCCACGCACAAUUCAUUUACAUAGACAUUUUAUCAAACAUCUAGGAUGCACAAUUCUUGUGCAUGAGAAUGAGUGAUAUAUGAAUAUCAUGACUACCACAUUCAACAUCACAAUUCAAAGAUUUAACAUGAGGGUUACAUAAAUCAACACUCAUUCUAGCUUAUUUACAUGAAACUCAAAUAUUCUUGGCUUGAAACCCACACAAUAACACAUACAAGAACACAAUUCCAUUUAAGAAUGUAAAUCAUUAUCUAAGUAUUGAAAAAGGAUUCUUGAACUCCAGGAGUGGAAGGAACCCAAGGAUGAACACCUAACACACCUUGGUCUCUAAAUUUGUGAGAAUUGUUGGUGAAUUCUUGAGAUUUGGACUUGAACUUUGAUGAACCUAGGGUUUGCACUUGAGAGAAUUUUAUGAAAUAAUGAGUGAAUUUGCCUUUUGGGAGGCUUAAUUUUGUAAUAUGGCAGACUAAUGUAAAGGGAAAAAGACUCAACUGCCCCCACAAACCCAUAAUUUAAUAAACAAAAUUAUGCACAGUGACACGACGGGCGAUGCAUCGCGUUGAUGGUAUCGAUGCGAUUGACGAUGUGUUGUGUCGACGGUGAUGAUGCGAUAGCCAACGCGACACAUCCUGAUAGCGUUGGCUCAUUGUUUUAGUCAUCCAAAUAUGUCUCAAAUGAUGUCUAAAAAUUCUAAAACUCACCUGAGAUGACCUAUAGAUAACCCUGAUCAUGAAUUAAUUUAAAAAUCGACAAUCUAAGGCCGGAAAGAUCAAAAAUAAGACCAUAGAAAUAUCAAGGUCAAAAUAAGACUAAAUCUUAACAUUUUGCUAAAAAAAAAAAUUUAAGUUUGAGACCUCUUUUGGCAUGCUAUAUGGGAUUGAAAUGGACUAGGACUUUACGGGGUCUUACAAUAUCUCCCCCUUGGGAACAUUUGUCCUCGAAUGAGAUUGAUUAAGCUAAGAGGCACUGAGAUACUACGACUAUACUGACGUGCAUAGCUGCAACAUGACUGAAUCUUGAGACAUGACACAAGACUGAAUUGAUUCAUGAAUGCAUGAAUGAUAUGAGAAGGAUAUGCAGCUGGAACUAAGUAUGGAACAGAGUAAAUCUAAGAAAGACUAUUACCUUAGGCUGAGUCGCCAAUCUCAAAAUCAAGAUCUUUCUUUCUUACAUCUGCAUAUGAUUUUUGUCGGUUCUAGGUUGUCUUAAGUAUCUCCCUGAUCAACUUUACUUUCUCUAAAAAAUAAAACACCAAGUCAAGGCCCACCAUCUUGGACUCACCUACUUCAAACUAACCAAUCAAAGAUAUACAUAUCCUCCUAUAAAGAGCCUCAAACGGAGCCAUCUGAAUACUGGAAUAAUAAUUGUUAUUAUAUAUGAACUCAAUCAAAGGUAAGUGGGCAUCCCAACGGUCCUUAAAGUCAAUGACGGAUUCUCUCAACAUAUCCUCUAAAGUCUGAAUGGUCCUUUCUGCUUGACCAUCUGUCUGAGGGUGAAAGGUUGUACUGAGGUGGACUUGGGAACCAUAAUUCUUUUGGAAGGAUUUCCAAAAGUGAGAGGUAAACUGCGUAUCUCUAUCUGAAAUGAUGGACAACGAGACACUGUGCAACCUAACUAACUCUCUGAUAUAGAGCUUGGCAUAGUCCUCGGCUGAAUAGGAAGUAUUGACUGGAAAAAAAUAGGCGGACUUGGUCUUCCUGUCUACAAUGACCCAAAUCUAAUCAUGCUGAUGACGAGUAGGAGGCAAACCCAUCACGAAGUCCAUGUUCACUUCUUGCCACUUCCAUGUGGGAAUAUAGAACUCCUACAUGGAAUCACUAGGCUUUUGGUGCUCAAUCUUCACCUGUUGAUAAGUAGAGCACUUAGCCACAAACUCUACAAUGUUCCUCUUCAUCCCACUCCACCAAUAUACUUCCCGCAAGUCGCGGUACAUCUAAGUUACACCUGGAUGAAUAGAGUAACACGCACCAUGCACUUCAACAAGAAUUUGUUGUCUCACAUCAUCUACACAUAGCACACAUAGCCUACCCUGGCAAUGCAACACACCAUCUCCCCCUUGGGAGAAAACCUCUACUUUCUGAUCUCUGACUGACUUUUUCAGCUUAACUAAACUGGGAUCCGUGUUUUGAUUUUCUUUCACCUUAUAAACUAAAGAAGAUUCCAAACUAUUCUGCACCUAAACACUACCCUCAGUCGAAUCAACCAAACGAACACCUAGUCUAGCAAGCUGAUAAGCUUCCUGAACUAACUUCUUCUUACUAUUCUCAGUGUGAGAAACACUACCCAUGGACAACCUACUGAGGGCGUCUUCCACUACAUUGUCCUAGCCUGGAUGAUACAAUAUCUUCCACUACAUUGUCCUAGCCUGGAUGAUACAAUAUCUUCCACUACAUUGUCCUAGCCUGGAUGAUACAAUACACUCAUGUCAUAGUUUUUCAAUAGCUUUGACCACCUUCUCUGACUCAAAUUCAGGUUUUUCUGCAAAAACACAUACUGCAGGCUUUUGUGGUCUAUGAAUACAUCAGCAUGCACCCCAUAUAAAUAGUGUCUCCAAAUCUUUAAGGCAAAUACAACCGCUGCUAGUUUAAGAUCAAGGGUGGGAUAAUUCUUUUUAUGGGUCUUAAGAUGUCUAGAGGCGUAGGCUAUGACCUUACCUUCUGCAACAAAACACACCCCAAUCCAACUCUAGAAGCAUCAUAGUAUACAACAAAUCUGUCUAAAUCGUCGGGCAAAGUCAAAACUGAGGCUGUAGUGAGUCGAGUCUUCAACUCCUGAAAACUCUUCUCAUAAGAAUUUGACCACUGGAACUUGACUUUGUUCUGAGUCAAUCUGGAGAUGAGGGAUGCAAUAGACAAAAAUCCUUCAACAAACAGUUGGUUAUAGCUAUCCAAACACAAAAAAACUCCUGAUAUCUGAAGAAGGUAUAGGUCAAGGCCAGUUUCUCACUGCUUGGUCUUUUGAGGAUCAACUCUAAUAUCAUCACUGGAAACUAUGUGACCAAGAAAAGCUACUGACCUUAGCCAAAAUUCAUAUUUAAUAAAUUUGGCGAACAACUGAUGGGCUCUUAUUAUUUAAGAUGUAUGUGUGAUUAUUUUCAUUAUGGGAAUAAACAAGAAUGUCAUUGAUGAAGACUAUGACGAACAUAUCCAAGUACUGCUUGAAAACGCGAUUCAUCAAGUCCACAAAAGCUAUUGGGGCAUUAGUAAGACCAAAUGACAUGACUAAAAAUUCAAAGUGACCAUACUGAGUUUUGAAAGCUAUUUUUGGAAUAUCAUAUUCUCUUACUCUAAGAUGAUGAUAGUCGAAUCUAAGGUCUAUCUUAAAAAAUAACUGGCACCCUAAAGUUGGUCAAAUAAGUCACCAAUUCUAGGAAGUGGGUACUUAUUCUUGAUGGUGUUUUUUUCAACUGACGGUAGUCUACACACAUUCUAAAAGAACUGUCUUUCUUUCACACGAAUAAAACUGGUGCACCCCAAGGAGAUAUACAGGGCCUGAUGAACCCUUUGUCUAAGAGGUCUUUUAACUGUUCUUUCAACUCUUUAAGUUUAGAUGGAGCCAUUCUAUAUGGUAAAAUAGAGAUGGGCUGAGUAUCGGGAAGAAGGUCUACUCCAAAGUCAAUUUCCCUUUAGGGUGGAACUCUGGGGAGAUCUUUGAGAAAUUCUCUUGCGACUGAAACUGACUCAAGAUUAGCAGUAUCAAAACUAAAGUCUUUAACUCACACAAGAUGAUAUACACACCCAUUAGAUAUCAUUUUUCUCUCUCUAAGGUAUGAAAAAAGUUGACCCUUAAGUGUUGUGGUACUACCUUUCCAUUCUAGGACAGGUUUAUUCGAAAAUUAAAAAUAAACAAUUCUGAUCCUCCAAUCAAUUAAAGCAUAGAAUGAAUGGAGCCAAUAUAUGCCGAGAAUGACAUCAAAAUUUGUCAUCUCUAGCGCUACAGGUUUGUUGAAGUAACCUUCUAAGACACCAUAAUCGAACAGGAACCCUACGCUGGCUACGUAGUUCUAUAACUCAGGGCUGCUACUAAGGGUCAACUAUAACCCUAAUCGCUCAGUGCUGAAUCCUACUCCCAACUGAAUCAACAUUGAACUAAUCAUUAGACCGUACUAGGCUUGACUGAUCUCACACUAAUUCUGUUAACUAACUAAAUGCUACUGUUUGGGACACUAUAGAAUCAUUGUAUUUUGACUGGAGACUAGAUAAAAAACUAUUUUUGGGUAUUCAAUACCCCCAGGACUCAAUAUCAUAGAUAAUGGAACGAUAUCUCAACUUUAAAAGCAUCACACAUAGGUUACCAUGCAUAAUUCAUGCACAUAGACAUUUUGUCAAACACCUAGGAUGCACAAUUCUUGUGCAUAAGAAUGAGUGAUAUAUAAAUAUCAUGACUACCACAUUUAACAUCACAAUUCAAAGAUUUAACAUGAGGGUUACAUAAAUCAACACUUAUUCUAGCUUAUUUACAUGAAUCUCAAAAUCUUCUUGGCUUGAAACCCACACAAUAACACAUACAUGAACAUAAUUCCAUUCAAGAAUGAAAAUCAUAAUCUAAGUUUUGCAAAAGGAUUCUUAAAAUCCAAGGGUGGAAGGAACCCAAGGAUGAACACCUAACAUACCUUGGUCUCUAAAUUUGUGAGAAUUAUUGGUGAAUUCUUGAGAUUUGGACUUGAACUUAGAUGAACAUAGGGUUUGCUCUUGAGAGGAUUUUAUGAAAUAAUGAGUAAUUUGCCUUUUGAGAGGCUUAAUUUCGUGUUAUGGUUGAAUAAUAUAAGGGGAAAAUAACUCAACUACCCCCAUAAAUGCAUAAUUUAAUAAACAAAAAUAUGCCCAGUGAUGCAAUGUGUGACGCGUCGUAUCGAUGGUGUCGAUGCGAUUGCUGACGCGCCGCAUCGAUAGUGACAAUGCGAUGGCCAACGUGAUGCGUUCUGAUCGCGUUGGCUCACUAUUUCUAUCAUCCAAACAUGUCUUAAAUGAUGUACGAAAAUUCUAAAACUCACUCAAGAUGACCUAUAGAUAUCCCUGAUCAUGAAUCAAUUUAAAAAUUGAUAAUCUAAGGCCGGGAAGAUUGGAAAUAAGACAAUAGAAAUAUCAAGGUCAAAAUGAGACUAAGUGUUAACACUUUGCCAAUUUUUUUCCUAAGUCAGGGACAUCUUUUGGCAUGCUAUAUAGGAUUGAAGUGAACUAGGACUUUAUGGGGUUUUACACAACCCUUCAAGGCAAAGACCACAACCCAAUUCUAAAUCAUGGGUGGGGUAAUUCCUCUCAUAAACCUUAAGUUGUAUGGAAGCAUAAGCUACAAUCUUACCAUAUUAAAUCAAAACACAACCCAACCCCACACGGGAUGCAACAUAAUACACAACAAACCCUUCUGUACCCUCGAGUAUGGUCAAGGCAAGAGCAGAAAUCAACUUAUCCUUAAACUUCUCAAAACUACCUUCACAAUCAUCGGAUUAUAAAAAUUUUAUCUUCUUCUAAGUCAACUUUGUAAGUGAAGUAGAAAUAGAUAAAAAGCUCUCCACGAACCCACGAACCCAUGAACCUCCUAUAGUACCCAACCAAACCCAAGAAGCUCCUAAUGUCGGUUGGGGUCGUGGUGAUGAGUGGUGAAUUUACCACUCAAUUGUACUCAACAAUCGUGUACACUACUAUGAUUUAAAUGUAUAAAUGAGAUAAAUUGAUGAUUAAAUACACUAAUUUUCACAUUUUGCAUGCAUAUAGGUUAGGAGAAUGAAAGAUGUGCAUUAGAGCUAAAAAGAAUCAAAAAGAAGAAAAAAUGCAGUUCAAAGACUUGAAGCCAAAUCAAGCCUUAUCUACCGCGAUCGCGGUCUGUGGGACGCAAUCGCAUUCACUCAAAUAGGUCAAAGUACUGUGAUCACGAUAAUCAUACCACAAUUGUGGUAGUGCGGGGAUUAUUCCUAGGGGCUGUUUUGUAAGUUCACACAGCCGACCCCAAUUCUCAGGGAGUGCUCAAAACCCUUAUUCAUCUAAUCUUAGAUUUAUCAUCUCGAAAUUAUAUUAGCUAAAGUUUUUUUGUAUUUUUUACUUGGAAUUUGGAGCUUAAAUUUGUACUAGUUUAAGACAAAAAUUAAUUAGACGAACUCCAAUGUGUGGAUUUGGCAUCACCUAUUGAAGAUUCAUUAGAUUUUAAAGUAUGGUUUGCCCUUUUUUUUAUGAAUAACUUUGAGAAUAAUCUUGGUAUGAUUUUUUCUAUUAUAUUUCUGAGUUUCUAAACCUACCUCUUGGUGUUAUGUUUGAGUAGGAUGCAAGUGUGUGGAUAUUGAUUGUUAGCUUCAAUUUGUGGUUAAUGUUGAUGAGCUUUACAAAUGUUUUAAUGCGAAAUGGGAAUUGUUGGUGUAAACCUCAAUUUCCCCUAAAAUUCCCACAUCAUACUUGAAAAAAGUCUAGAUCCUACAUCAUUCUCGAAAGAGGGAUGUAGGUGACAUAAGAGAUUGUGAAUAAUAUCGUAAAUGGUAGUUAUUCUCAUUUUGUUGUCUUAGAAAUAAGGAUGAAAUGUGAAAUUGCUACCUCUUAAACAUCAUCCUAUAAAUUAGGGUGUUAAAUUGAGGUUUUGGGGUUGAUUAGAAUGUCAACACCCGUGAGUUUUUUGAGAGAAUCCAUGGGUGAUAUUUCGGUGUUUUGUUGAAAGACUAACAUCAAAAUCCCGAACCUAGCCUAUCCUCUCGCACAUUAAGUAAAAUUGGAUGCUAUCUUUUAUAUAUUCACACACACUAGUUUGCCUCUGGGACAACAUAAUCCCAAGAUCCAUUCCUAAUUGAUUAUGCUCUAAUUAUUCUUAGUCUCAAAUUGGUUCUUUAGAAUCCAAGAAUUUUUAUACACUUUUGAAAACAUUCAAAAUCCCCCAAAAAUAUUUGUAUCUUAGGUUUGAAUUUAGCAAGUAACUUUCAUUUCAAACUUAUUUAGUAGCCACUCACAUUGUUCCUUAUGGAUUCAACUCCGACUCUUUUUGGGUAAUUAUAUUGACAAUGAUCGCCUUGCACUUAAAUUAACGUGUAAGUUUAGCAUUAUCAAAAAUGGCAUUGUUGUCGGGGAACAAUUUGGCGUAGUGAGUUAGUUUGAAAGUUUAGCUUACUUUAAUUAAACUUGUAAAUAUUUGUUUGUGAUUUUAUUUUGUUUCUUGUGUUAGGUAGAUUUUUGUUUUUAUUUACUUGUCACUAUGGAAUCUUGGAUUGAAUGUGAUUUUAGUGGUUGGAAAUCUUAUAUUGAUGAUCCAUGUCUAUAUUAUAGUAUACCCCACUUUUGGCAAGAUUGUAAAUAUGCUCCCCGAAAAGAGAUGUGCGCACCAUCUUGAAUCUAUUGGGUGUAUGAUUGUUCUUUAUGUGGUUGCCAAUAUGGAUAUUGGAGUGAUUGUCCAAAUACCCCCUCCCCUCGUUAUGCUAAUACAAAUACUAAUUUUUCUUAUGAGUUUGAUAGGUCUCAUGAUGUGAAAAAAGAAGAACAACAUACCAGGUACAAUAGUGUUGAAGCAAUGCUUCAAACUCUUUUGGAUCGGGCAACUAUAUUAGAGGAAGACGUGCGUGAUUUGUAUCAAUCCAAUGAGGCAUUUAAAAAUUAAAUCAAAAGGAUAGAAGAAGUGGGUAUGGAGGCUAAUAUUUCAAAUACCAUAGGUAUUCCCACUUUUCCAAAUGAGCUCAAUGUUGAAGAAUCCUUGGUGAUUUUCCAACCAACCGAACCAAACAUGAGAGAUGAUGCCAAGAUUGAGGAAAUGGAACUAGAGUCACAAGAAAAAGCGAAGAAAAUCCUUUGUGAAGGCUCUAGUACAUUUUGGAGGGAGAAUUCCAAGAACGACACAACUCUAGAAUUAAGGAUAAGACCUCACUCAAACCACUUUUCAACAUUAUGUUUGGUGAAUAUGUUGAAAGUCGAACCACCUAAGAAAAUGAUGAAUUUUAGAGACGAGGAAUAAAAUCCCUAUAUUUUGGAGUUCAUCAUUCCUAAAGGGCAAGAGAAAGCCCACCACUUGAAGUACAACAAAUGCAAGACACAAUGUGUAGCAAGUGGAUCUUGAAGUUCUCAUCCAUACCAAAUAGGCCAACUCAUAAAUUUGAUGUAAAAUUGGGUAAAAGAUUCAAGUCUUCAAAGUGGAGCGAUAAAAGUAGUAUCAAUGCACCCUCGUCUUGCCCCCAAGUGCCACGAAGUUGUAUUGAUUGAAAUUUGGGGCGCCAUUUCAAGUCUUCCAAGUGAAGACAUAAUGAAAAUUGAAGAACAUUGAGCCACGCUGAUAAAUAAGGCACUUGAUGGGAGGCAACCCAUCAUUUUCAUGUUUGUGCCAUUUAUUUUUAAAUAACUCAUGUAAUUUUGGUGCUUGGUAGGUGCUUGAGGAAGAUUGGAAGCCAAAAACAGGGGGAAACCAAGCUUAAAAGUGUAGCAGUCAUGCAGAAAAAUAGGGAAAAAUAGAGGAACAGAAUGUCUCAGGUACUGAUGGCAGCAUCACGACCGCACCAACCAUGUCGCGAUCGCGCAACUAUGCCCAGCUUUCAACAUGGUUAUUAACGCAGUUUCAAGGAGCCCUUUUGACCCUUCUUGUGCUUUUGAAUUAUGUAGUGAGGUCACUACAAGUCUUUUUAUUGGGGAGUGUGGCCCUACCCUUGUGUGAGUACACAUUGGCUUGCAAUACUUGAACUUAGUUUACACGAAGCAUGGAAAUUUUGUGAAAUUGAUUGUUUUCAUUUCUAGAUUUUAUUUUUUUAAUAAUAAUAUUGGACGAGCUUUUUCUUGUGAUAGAUUUAGUGACGACAUUCUUAAGGAAAAAAUCAUCGUUAUUAGGGUUUGAGCAAUGGAAGUAGGGGAAGUUUGAGUACCUAUGGCAUUAAGGUUACAAAUGCAAGGUAAGUCUGAGUACCUGUGGCAUUUCGGUUUUGGGGUCGCAUUUAUACCUAUGGCAAAACUUGUGUAAUCAUAUGGUUGAUUUGCCCUCAUGAAAGCCAAAAUGUGAUGUAAAGGCUUGGGUUGGUAUCAUAGUUAGAAAAUUGUGUGUGGUGCAAAUGCAAAGAAACCCCCCCCCCCCCCAAUCCCCUAUCCAAAAAUUUUCAAGAAUUAAGGACAAGGACGUGAGCGACCUUGUAACAAAGCUUUUUAUCUUUUUGUGACUCCAAAAAUUUUGGCUUAUGAAAAUUGGUAGAUACUCCAUUUUUGUCUCUAGCAGGAGAGGCAAUUGAGCCUAUUUGGCGAAUUUGCAAGCCAUGUGUAGUAAGAUCAUUUGUCCAAAUCUCAUGUGUACUUGUACCAUAUAAAAAUUUCCUCAUUAGUCUCUCAAGGAUAAUUUUGAUUGUACUUGGUUGGUGAGAUGAUGUUAGGCCAUCUUUGUGACAUUAGAAAUCUACUUUAGCCUAAAAAAACUAUCCUUGCAUAGAUGUUAUCCCUAGUCACCCACUUUGAGCCUUUGGAUUUUUCUUUGGCAAUAAUAUUGCAAGCCGUGAGCCUUUUAAUUUUUAUCUCUCUUUUGAACCCUAUCCUCCUUGAACUUAAAAAUGCUCUUUGAGGCUAAAAGCCUAAGUUGGGGAUGGUGAAGAUUGGAAGAGGUAACUUUGGGCCACGAAGUUGUAAGUGAAUACCUAAGAGCUUAAGCAUUGAGACCAAAUGAAUAAUAAAAAUAAAGGAGCCAACAAAUGAAAGAAAAGCACAAAGUAUGCAAGAAAAUAAAUAAAAAUAAAAUGGGUAAACUGAGGGAAUAAAAGUAGGAACAUGUGUAAGGAGUGAAAACAAAAGAAGUGGCCCAUGAUCAAAAGUUGGAUAGAAUAGUAUGAUGUAGAUGUUCAAGGACGGUAUAACCAUGUUAUUCCUAAAUGAUAUCCUAUACUACCCCAAACCUACGUUACAAAUGCAAAAAGCCCUUCGAGAUCUCCAACCAAGUGCAUUCAUCGUAGUGGAGAUUGAAAAUAGGGGCAAGCCUAUGGCAUGGUACUUGUUAGCGUAGAGAGUCAUUAUGAGAGAGAGUUUUGCACUUAAAUUCCUUGUUGCAUACUUGAUAUCUUAGUGUGCAAUAUUUUCCUUAUUGCGAGGAGGCAUGUAAACAAGUUGAGGAGAAUGAUUUGCUCAUCUCCUAAAAAAUGAGGCAAAAGGAGUAUAAUGUAGUUGAGGUCAAAAGUGAGUCACUUCUAGAGUAUUGGUGAUUGUUGCAUGGUUGCUCUUUGAAGUAUUUUGCAUUCUUGAAAAUUUCAUUUUAUGUUGAGGAGUUUCGUGAAAAUAGUUUUGCUCAUGUUUGAAGAUCUAUUUGUAGUAGUAAUCAAGUUAGAGUCAUUAUGAUACUGGGUCAUAUAAUUUGGGCAUACAUGUGCAUAGGCUUAUGGUAAGAAGUAGUGUUUCUUGAGGACAAGCAAAUUUUUAAGUUGGGGGUGUUGAUGAGUAGUGAAUUUACCACUCAAUUGCACUCAAAAAUCAUGCACACUACUAUGAUUUGAAUGUAUAACUUAGACGAAUUGAUGAUUAAAUACACUAAUUUCCACAUUUUGUAGGCAUGUAGGUUAGGCAUACUUGAUAUCUUAGUGUGCAAUAUUUUCCUUAUUGCGAGGAGGCAUGUAAACAAGUUGAGGAGAAUGAUUUGCUCAUCUCCUAAAAAAUGAGGCAAAAGGAGUAUAAUGUAGUUGAGGUCAAAAGUGAGUCACUUCUAGAGUAUUGGUGAUUGUUGCAUGGUUGCUCUUUGAAGUAUUUUGCAUUCUUGAAAAUUUCAUUUUAUGUUGAGGAGUUUCGUGAAAAUAGUUUUGCUCAUGUUUGAAGAUCUAUUUGUAGUAGUAAUCAAGUUAGAGUCAUUAUGAUACUGGGUCAUAUAAUUUGGGCAUACAUGUGCAUAGGCUUAUGGUAAGAAGUAGUGUUUCUUGAGGACAAGCAAAUUUUUAAGUUGGGGGUGUUGAUGAGUAGUGAAUUUACCACUCAAUUGCACUCAAAAAUCAUGCACACUACUAUGAUUUGAAUGUAUAACUUAGACGAAUUGAUGAUUAAAUACACUAAUUUCCACAUUUUGUAGGCAUGUAGGUUAGGAGAAUGAAAGAUGUGGAUUUGAGAUGAAAAAAGAUCAAAAAAGGAAAGAAGUGCAGUUGAAAGACCUAAAGCAGAAUCAAGUCACAAACCGCGAUCGCGGUAAUCGUACCGUGAUGGCGAUAGUGCGGAGAUUAUGCCAGGGGUUGUUUUGUAAUUUCACACAGUCGACCCCAAUUCCCAAGAAAGGCUCAAAACCCUUAUUCAUUUAAUCUUGGAUUUAUCACCUUGAACUUAUCUUAGCUAAGGGUUUUUGUCUUUUUUUUACUUGGAGCUUGGAGCUUAAAUUUGUACUAGUUUAAGACAAGAAUUAAUUACAGGAACUCCAAAGUGUGGAUUUCACAUCACCCAUUGAAGAUUCAUUGGAUUUUAAAGUGUGGUUUACCCUCUCUUUAUUUUUGAUGAAUAGCUUUAAUGGUUAUCUUGGUAUAAUUUUGUCUAUUAUCUUUAUGAGUUGCUAAACCUACCUCUUAGGGUUAUGUUUGAGUAGGGUGCAAGUUUGUGGAUAUUGAUUGUUAGAUCCAAUUUGUGGUUAUGUUGAUGGGUUUUACAAAUGUUGAAUCAAAAUAGGAAUUGUUAGUGAAAACCUCAAUUUCCCCUAAAAUUCCCACAUCAUCCUUGAAAAGGGGAUAUGGGUAGUCUGGAUCCUACAUCAUCCUCGAAAGUAGGUGACAUGAACAUUUAUGAACAAUACCGUAUAUGGUAGUUAUUCUCAUUUUGUUGUCUAAGAAACAAGGAUGAAAUGUGGAAUUGCUACCUCUUGAACAUCAUCCUAGAAAUAGGGAUGUUAAGGGUUGAUUAGAAUGUCAACACCCGUGAGGUAUUCGAGAGAAUCCAUGGGUGAUAUUUUGAUGUUUUGUUGAAAGAUUAACGCCGAAACCCCAUACCUAGCCUACCCUCUCACACAUUAAGUAAAAUUGGAUGCUAUUUUUUUAUAUAUCCACACACACUAGUUUGCUCCUAGGACAACAUUAUCCCAAGAUCCAUUCCUAAUUGUUUACGCUCUAAUUAUUCUUAUUCUUAAAUUAGUUUUUUAGAAGCCAAGAAUUUUUUAUACACUUUUGAAAAUAUUCAAAAUCCCGCAAAAAUAUUUGUAUCUUAGGUUUGAAUUUAGCAAGUAACUUUCAUUUCAAACUUAUUUAGUCGUCUCUCACAUUGUUUCUUGUGGAUUGCACCCUGACUCUUGUUGAGUAAUUAUAUUGACAAUGACUGCCUUGCACAUAAAUUGAUGUAUAAGUUGAGCAUUAUCAAAAAUGUUGGUCUAGGACACUUCUUAACCUCCUCAAUGUUUUGUGGGUCAGAGCACUUAGCCAGAAUUUACACUUAGAAAAUUUUGCAUACAAUUCCUGGUCCUUAAGGGUCUGUAACAUAAUUUGGAUAUGAUUGGCAUGAUCCUCCUCACUUUUCGCGUACACCAAGAUGUCAUCAAUGAAGCCUAUAACAAAUAGAUCAAAAAACUAGUUGAACACCCGAUUCAUAAGGUCCAUGAAAGCAGUUGGAUCUUUAGUCAAUCCAAAUGACAUAAUCAAAAACUCAUAGUGACCAUAUUAGGUUCGGAAGGCAAUCUUAGGAAUAUCAACCUCCCUAAUUUUGAACUGAUGAUAACCCGAACAGAGAUUAGUUUUUAAGAAACACCUAGCACUCUGUAGCUAAUCGAAGAGGUCAUCAAUCCUAGGAAGAGGGUACUUAUUUUUCAUAGUGACCUUAUUCAACUGACGAUAGUCUAUACACAUCCUAAGAGACUCAUCUUUCUUUCGCACGAAAAGCACAGGAGCACCGCAUGGAGAAACACUAGAAUGGAUGAAGCCCUUAUCAAGAAGGUCCUUUAACUGAUCCUUUAGUUCCUUUAGUUCAGUCAGAGUCAUCCUAUAAGGAGUAAUAGAAAUGGGAUGGGUGUCAGGUAGAAGGCCAAUUUCAAAGUUCAUUUCCCUAUGCGGAGGAAUCCCUGAAAGAUCAUUAAGAAAAACUUUAAGGAAUUCAUUAACCACAGGGACAGAUUGCAAAGGGGGACUUUCAGAGGUAGAAUCCUUAAUUCGAACUAGAUGAUACAAACACCCUUUUAAAAUCAAUUUCUAAGCCCUAAGAUAAGAAAUAAACUUCCACUUUUGUACUAAAAGAACUCCCUUCCCCUUCUAAUAUCAGUUCAUGAGGAAAAUGAAAGGUGAUCUUUCGGGUUCUACAGUCCAGAGAAGCAUAGCAUGAAUAAAGUCAAUUCAUCCCCAAGAUCACAUCAAAAUCCACCAUAUCAAGUUCUAUCAGAUUCACCAAUGUCUCCCUAUGAAGAAUGGACACUACACAACCCCUGUAAUUUUCUUAGAAUUAAUAAACUCACCCACCGGGAUAGAAACGGAAAAGGGGUCAGAUAUACUUUCAAGAUCAAAACCAAAGUGUAUAGCCACAUAAAGAGUCACAUAAGAAAGGGUAGAACCUGAAUCAAGAAAACAAUAAACAUUAUGGGAGAAAAGUUGUAACAUACCAGUGACAACAUUUGGGGAUGCAUCAGAUUCCUGACGAGUAGAAAGUACAUAAAGACGAUUCCAACCAGUCCCCGUCCCUAAAGAAGCACCCUUAGCUGCAGGAGCUGAUGAAGUGUCUACCAAGACCUUAUUAGCUCCCGUGACGACCCUAGAUAAAGGAUAAUUGUCAUCGCAGGCUGACCAUAAUUAAAGCACAAAUCCCUCAUUUCCUCACAAUAACCACAAUGAAGUUGCCCAUUGAAACAGCAAUGAGGGUAAAGUGGGGUCGAUUGAGCUCCACUCAUCUGAGACUGGGCACCCUGUGCCUUAAGACUACUGCGAGGUUGCAAACGCCGAUCACCUGAAGGCUUAGGAUAAGGAGCACUUGCUGACAAAUAAGAAUUUCCCCAAUUCUUCUUCUUAGGCCAUUGCCUACCAUCUUUCCCAUUGUUUUGCUGACUUGCAUUCUGCGCUGCAUACCUAAAUUUCUUGCUUUGUCUUUCUCCCAUCUCUACCUACUUCCUUUUUUUAUCUUCCACCUGCUGCAUGUAAACCACUAGACUAGAUAUGUCCAUAUCAUCAUUUAGCAUAGUAGCCUUACACUCUAACACCAAACCAUAGGACAAACGAAAAGCGAACUUCCUCAUCCUAGACCUCAUAUUAGACACCAAUUUCAAAGCAUAAUGGGAUAGUUGUUAGAACUUCAGUGCGUACUCCUUGAUGCUCAUCCUACCCUACUUCAGAUUCACAAACUUUUCAGCUUUGGCUUCCCUCAACUCCUGAGGAAAUAAAUGAUCAAGAAAAGUACCUCCAAACUCUUCCCGUACAGCUGGGUCAACAUUAUCACCCCUUAACUCCUCCCACUCCUCAUACCACUAAUGAGCCACAUUCUUCAACUGAUAAGCUGCAAACUCCACACCCUCUGAAUCAUUAGCAUGCAUAACUCUAAAGAUUUUAUCCAUCUCCUCAAUAAAUCCCUAAGGAUCCUCCUCAACCUUAGAGCCUGUAAAGGUUGGGGAAUUCAACCUCAUAAACUGGCCAACCUAGGUGACCUUAGAUGAACUAGUAAUGGGACCUACAUGAUCAGUCGAACGAGACUGCGAUGCCACAAGCUGAGCAAGCAUACGGAUAGAUUGAUGAGACUCAUAUUCAAAAUACCUCCCAGAAGGUACUGUAUAAAGAUAGCACUAGCCCAGAAGGUCUGCGGAAUACUAGUGGGGACUGGCAGGGCCCCAGGUGAAGCGGUGCAGUCAGGAGUAGGGGCCCUAGACUGAGUCUACAUUCCAUAAGUAGAGCAAAUUCCCUCCUAUUUUCCCCAAUUAGGAUGGAGGUUCCAGCUGAGUUCCCACGACCAUCAGAUCUUUAGGGAGGCAUGACCUGAAAUGUAGGUAAAUCUGGAGUUAAAGAAAACUCAAAGAAACUAGAGCCACUAGCACAAAAUUGAACUCAAAGAAAGGAAACAUUCCUAAAUUUCUUGGAUCCUCCCCCUUAUAAGUGUGGAGCGCUACACACCCAUAUAAGGGACUCUACUCAUCACGGCUUUGUGAAUACCCAACGGUCUUGAAUCGUGUAUGAUACCAAACUUAUCAUGAUCCAAACUCGAGCCUGGCCAUGACGGUCAUCUCAAGCCCAUCGAGGGUGCCCUCUAUCCUUACCUUAAGAGAACAAUAAAAGUAAACAAUGAAAGCCAACCAAAUCAAUGAAAGAUUUAUAAAAUCAAACAAAAAUUUAAAGAGUCAAAACAAAACAUCAAUGGCAUUUUAAUCCUGUCCACAAAAUCCUCUAAUCCAAGAAUGCCAACUAAGUCGGGACAUGCCCCAGACUAUGGCAAAAUAAAUUCAUAAGCACUAGAAAAAAAUAGAAAAAUCUAAAAAUGACCGAGCCUUUCGGAAAAUGGAGGCUCACCACUUCACAGCUGAUUAAUAAAAGUACCCAAUAACCAAAUACUUCAUAAGAUCACUAGGAAAGCCCUCAGAAUCUACAUUAUGAAAUAAUGUAGCAUCAGGGGAUGGUCAGUAUGGCGAGUACUGACAUGAAACCCAAGGAAAGGGAUAAAAUAAUGCAUUUAUCAAAAAUCCAGUCAUAAAACCAUAUGCAAAACAAGUAUAUAUAUAUAGAAUGUUAGUAUAGGAACAAGGGACAUGAACAUGAGCAUCUAAAAAAUUAGUCCUAAACUAUGUAGCUCAUACCAACUUUUUAGACACCUACAGGCUAUAUGGGUCCGGGUUGCCCGAUCUAAAGGGCCUCAGUCCAUGUUAGCUGCAUGUACCGAGGAAUGGCUAAAGACACCAAGGCGAUAGCCGUCCAAAAUAUAAUAUGUGCAUCAGACACAAUGGUCAUAUAGACCCCCAACGUCGACAAAUGUGAUUUUCGAUGUUGGUCCACCCGGGACAACACCUUCUCGAUAGCUACACAAUUUUCUUUAAGCCCAAAUUAAAAAGAAUUUACACAUAAGCCAAUCAUUAGCCAAGGAGUCUUUAAUUAGGCAUUUCCAACUUGGUAUCGUCAUACCAAUAGACUUACAAGCUAUUCCAAUUAUGCCAAACCAAAAUCAUUUAACCAUUAGACUCCAAGUUUCAUUGAGAAAUCAAAACCAUAGCCAUUAAGGGCAUUCUAAAACCAUAGCCACCAAAGGCAUUCCAAGCCAUUUUUAUCCUUUUUUCCUUCAAUGCAAUGCAAUAUUUUUAAAGAAUGAGUUAAAUUACGUAAAAAUUUGUAUUCAAAACCAAGGUUAUAAUAUGGGUUGAGGGUUAUGCCAUUGUCAUGCCAAAAUUCAUCAAUUUUUGUGAAACCAAGUACCAAAUCCCACCGUUAUCAAAAACCACAAUUUUCAUUCACAAUUCACCAUUAUAACAAUGCACCAAUUCAGUUCAAAUCCAUUUAAAAUAUGAGUAAAUCAUUUAAAAUAAGAUAUAACAAUACAAGAUUAUCACAAUCAAAAGACCCUCAACCCUAGUUCAAACUCAUCAUUCAAAACACAUAAAUAUUGAAUAAAUUGAUGCAAUAAUAUAAAAUUUAUGUUAGGGAGUGUACAACAUGCCUGGAAUAUAGAAGAAUUUAAAAAGAAAUUGAAGUUUUAAGCCCGAAGUUAUGAAUUUUUGUAAAAUCCUUGAGUUUUCUUGCCUGGGGAGUUGGAGAAGAACAGGGUAGUCUAAAUUCAAUAAAUUGGGGGGUUUUCUAAGGAUGGGGGACAUUUUAAGAUGUUUUAAAGUGAAAAGGACCAAAAUGCCCUUGUCCCCAAACUUAAAAAAGCGAACUGAGCAAUUUUUACACAAUAGCAUGACACACCGCUAUCGUGGUGCUUAGCCAGCGUGCCACGCUCCUAUCACGGAGCUUAAGUGAUGUGGCACGCCACUAUCACGGACCCUCAUUGCUUCGAGGUCCCAAAAUGACCCUGAAUUCUUUUCAAAAAUUUUGAAACUUACCCCACACACUCCUUUAACGUCCCUUAUAAUGAUUCAAGUCAAAAAUUAUCAUUACACAUGCGGUAGGGUCAAAAAUAAAUUGAUCAAAAAUUUUUAAAGUCUUACAUUGCAUCUGGGUUAAUAACUUUAUUUGUUUGUAAUUGAGUGUUGAGAAAAUGGUAUGUUUUGUCGAGCAUUAUAUUGUUAUUCGAGUACUUUAGUCCUUACUGAUGAAAAAAAGCUCGCCAGUGCUGAAUGAUUAUGCAACUCACAAUAAUUGUUGUAGGAAUUUGAGGGAACUGGACUUGAGAGAAAAGCCAUUGGCUGAGUCGUAUUGAUCAUAUAUAGUUAUCAUCUUAAUAAUGUCUUCUAAGCAUGUUGUCUAAAAUGUUAGGGUUCGUUUGGUGUGAGGGAUAAGAGAAAAUAAUCUUGAGAUAAAAUUUUAAUACCUCAUAAUUGCUUGUUUGGUUGCACAACUUGAGAAAACUUAUUUCGAAAUUAUUAAUUAGUACCAAAAUAAAUUAUCCCUCUCUCAUGAUGAUAUAAUAAUACCAUGAUAAGUUAUCAUUGAUUAAAGCAAUUAAAAUAAUAAAAGUACCCUGCAUAUUCUUUUUAGGGCCCGUUUGGAUGGAUUGAAAAAAGUACUUCUAAAAAAUUCUUUAAAAAUACUUUUGAAAGUGCUGGACUUAUUUUAAAAAUAAGCAAUUACGUGUUUGAAUAAAAGUGCUGAAACUGAAAAAAAGUUACUGAUGCGUUUGGUAAACAAGUGCUUUUAAACACUUUUUUUGUU
rnacentral:lncRNA from 1 species